ACCGCAAUAGCUCAGUUGGGAGAGCGUUAGAUUGAAAAGUCCCUGGUUCGAUCCCGGGUUCCGGCA
rnacentral:tRNA from 1 species